GCGGGCGUGGUGGAACUGGUAGACACGCAUGCCUUAGGAGCAUGUGCCAUCGGCGUGAGGGUUCGAGUCCCUCCGCCCGCA
rnacentral:tRNA from 1 species